CCUGGGCCAAUCGGGCCAAGGCUAAUACUCAAUAGCUGCGGCUUCAGGCGCUGCCUGCGAGGCUGUGAGGCUGUGCAAGGGGAAUUUUCCACUGCCAGGUUCCAUUCAGCUCACACUACAGCCUUGACUGUUUACAGAGAGCAGGAAGGUGCAGCCUCCCCCAGGGCACAGCCUAGGGUAGGAUUCGAGGGUAGGCAACGGGAGGCCUUGUGUGCCCUGGCCCCGACUGCUGUACCUGGGGGUGCUGGGGUGCGCGGGGAGGCGCUGUACCAGGAGAGGAGUAGGGCCUUGGGUAGAGCAGUGGGUACAGAAAGACAGAAUGUGGCUGUCCUGCCUCCUUUCCUCCCACUUUCCCUCAGAUGCUCCCUUGACUGGACCUGAGAGAUGCCCCGCGUGGGUGCAGAGCCCGCAGGGAGAACUCAGACGAAAUGGAGGACUUUAAGACCCCAAGCUCAGAUUCUAUAACGCCCACGGGACCAAGAGGUGUGCAACCUCCCCGCCUCCCCCCCAAAAUGUGUCCGUAUCUGGUUGGCCAUAGCACCCCAAAGGUCGUUAAGGUGGCUCUAAAACCCCUUUGGGCGUGAGGAAGAAAAAUAAAAUAAAAUAAACUGUUCCUCGUUUGACCCUAAAUGAGGAACACAAA